rnacentral:lncRNA from 1 species
UUUUAAAGUCCCCGUAGUCAGAGGGGUUGGCAGUGGCAUCGCCCCGGCCGGCAGCGGAAAGGCACAGAGCCAGGACUGGCUGCUAAACCGAGAGGGCAGCUGCCCCUUGCCUGUCUGUCCAGCAGGCAGCCGCAAGCCAGGCAGCAGAAGCCAGCAUGGCAGUCGGACUGACGCUAAGGGAAUCCUCACCAUGAGGCACGAAGACUACAGGACCUAGCACUGAGACGCUCCAUGCAGGGUUGGGCUGGGUGGCGGGCCACUCCUUCUAGCCUCCUGCCUAAGCUAAGACCCCGGGGACUCAGAUGUUGCAAGGAGGACAGAGGCAGGGUGAAUUCACGAGUAGGUUCCCCUGCACUUCCCACACCACAUUGCCUCAUCCUUCACAGAGCUGCAAGACCCCAGCUUGAGUUACUGGACCAGAGAGAGUUUUCUCCAUAUGCCCACUCGGGAUGGAGGGCACGAAGGUCCCUCCACUCCCUCGGCUCCAGAUUCAAGCCUUAGGUCCCUGAUGCUUAAGGGCAUCUGUGGAUCCCUAUAUUUUUCUGCUCACAUCUGGGGACUACGACUUCUGCCAAAUAGCUAUGGUUUUAUCCCUUCAAGUUUUUGCAUCUGAUACUCCGGCAGACCAACUUUUUUUUCCUCCCGGGACUCGAGGUGUGCAAUUUAAAUUGAUCAUAUUUGUCCACAACCGCCUUUAGCGGUCUCAAAGGAGGCUGCAAGGAGGAGACUACGAGUGUUGCCGCAGAGUCCCAGGUUCUGCCCCAGGUUGGACCCGCAUCUUCGCACCCUCAUCCAGAGAGGCUAGGUUCAGAAACGAUUCAUCCGCGGUGCCAGGCAGAGGCGGCCAGAGCCACUCUGCGCCGGAGGCGCCACCCCGGCCAGGCGCCCGCCGAGCUUCCCCCGGCGCCCAACGGGGCUCCGUCCCUCCUCCUCCCCGCUGCCCAGAUGCCCCGGAGCCCGGAUCACAUCCCACCCUGGCCGAGGCCGCCGCAGACCCACCUGGCCACCCCGCGGACGUCUUGCUCGUGCCCGGGCUGUGUCCUGAGCGCCGCCAGGGUCCGAGGGUGAGCGUCCACGCGGCAGCGCUGCUCCGGGAGCCUGCCUGCAGCAGCCGGGGAGAGGUUGUCAUUGAUUCACGCUGGGCGAGUUAAGCCAUUCCAGGAGUGGUUUGGAGCGAGCACUCCCACCCCUCCCUCCAACCAGAAGUAUUUGGCAGCCAGCCCCUUUCGUCCACCUGUACUGUUGAACGCGGGACAAGGACCAAUUGCUCCAGUGGCUUUCCCUGCGUUUCUUUAGAAUACGCAAAUCAACCCUUUAGGAAAGGUAAAACGGAAACGAAAGCAAGGGCGGUGGAGUGUUUUAUUUUUUCCCUCCCCCUAUCCUCCUCCUUUUCUCUAAUAUUUCAAAAAAAAAAAAAAAAAAAAGCCUUACCACUUAUCUUCAGGCAAGGGAGGCUUUUUAUUAUUGUUGUUUUAUUCAAUUCUCUGUGUCUGUGUUUUAUUUUUAGAGGCAAUUUUGUUUCCAUUUGCCUGAAACCUGAGCCCAAUAAAAUUACUAGAAUUAUAUGUUUUCUCCUU